rnacentral:rRNA from 1 species
GACAGAGGGUGCGAACGUUGUUCGGAAUUACUGGGCGUAAAGCGUAUGUAGGCGGCAGCGCAAGUCGGGCGUGAAAUCCCACGGCUCAACCGUGGAAGUGCACUCGAAACUGCGCAGCUAGAGUCCUGGAGAGGAAGGUGGAAUGCUUGGUGUAGAGGUGAAAUUCGUAGAUAUCAAGCGGAACACCGGUGGCGAAGGCGGCCUUCUGGACAGUGACUGACGCUGAGAUGCGAAAGCGUGGGGAGCAAACAGG